rnacentral:misc_RNA from 1 species
AUAUAUAUAUAUAUAUAUAAAUUUCUUUUAUGCGGCAAUGAUUCUAUCUGAAAUAGAGUUUUAUUGAUAUCACACUAGCUUUGAGUUAUGGUGCGCUACUUCUUUUACAGUUCAUUAUUUACUUGGUUUAGAAUGGUUGCUAUUUGCUUUCCCGAGAUCAGCAUCUUUGAACCCACACAAAAUGACGUCUUUCAUUCAACGGAUUCUUCUCAAAUCUCAAUGAUGGUGGUUCCAAGGGGUAAGCUUGUCAUUGUACACAAACUUAAGGUGCUGGAUGUGAUCAGAAUAAGAGUGCCCUGCUUUUAGAAAUUGUGGUUGUGAAUAGAAGCUUAAACAUGGCUUGAAACGUUAGAUCAUCUGCCAAAGGCAACGAUGUCAAAUGUGCCAAAUGUUUAUGACUUUCAUUAGCAACCUUCUUUGCGCAUGGAUGCAUAGACAUAAAAAAAGAUGCAUUAGCUGCAUCCCCUAGAUGAUCCUUCUCGCUGUCUACAGGUUAGGGUUUCAAAAAUUUGGACAAUUUAUCAUUCAUGAUUCAAGAAUCUUUUAAUUUAUCAUAGAUUCAAAAGGCUGUAUACACUUGAAUUACAUUAAUACAUCCUCGAUUAAUUGCUUUG